rnacentral:rRNA from 1 species
UACGUAGGGUGCGAGCGUUGUCCGGAAUUAUUGGGCGUAAAGGGCUCGUAGGUGGCCAACUAAGUCGGACGUGAAAUCCCUCAGCUUAACUGGGGAACUGCGUCCGAUACUGGAUGGCUUGAGUACGGAAGAGGGUCUCGGAAUUCCCGGUGUAGAGGUGAAAUUCGUAGAUAUCGGGAGGAACACCAGUGGCGAAGGCGGAGACCUGGGCCGAUACUGACGCUGAGGUGCGAAAGCGUGGGGAGCAAACAGG